CUGGUUUACUGAGAAAACUCAGAGAAGAAGACAUUCAGGGAGACACCAAGCCAGGGAGGUGACAAGUAUGUGGUAAAAUCCGAGCACGCAGAAUUUGGGGGAACAGGACUCUAGACUGCCUCUAGAGAGAGCUGUAUUGAAGGCCCUGCGACCCAGCACAGAGAAGGGAAUGGUGCUCUAGGUCCCUGCCUCUGCAGAAGACAAAUCCAGGAAGAGAACCAGGAAACUGCAGAGUAGCCAGCCACAUGCGAGAAAAAUCUGAAGGAGACGAAAAUGUUUCAGGAGAAAGGGCUUUUCAACUGGUGCAUAAUUUAGGUUAAAGUUUCUGAGCAGCUCUGGACUGCAAAAGGGCCUCCCUUCACUGAGCAGAUGUAUAUGACCCCGUGCUUCUCCGAUUCAUACCAAACUUCAGAGAAACUCCGGGAAAGGUUCCUUCUGUAUUUAUGGAUGAGAAUUAUGUGAAGCCUCUACAACCAUCGUAGUUCAUAUCUCCAGAGAGAGGUAUAAUUUGCAGUGAAGUGCACAAAUCAGUGAAAUUUUACGUAUGCAACCUUUAUCACUCACCACCCAAACCAGAGUGGUGUCUUCCCAACACCCCAGGGCCUCUAGUCCUUUUCCAGCGUUGCCUGAAGACACAAACUACUGAUGGCUGCAUCCACAUGACUGACUUCAAACACAGCACGCUGCAGGAGAAAAGCCGGAUACGCGCGUGGAAAGUGGGUGGCUCCACCACCCUGCUGUUCAGGUUUUCUUUCUGAAAGUUCUUUUGGCUUUAUUAUGGAAUAGAGGUUACAGAAAGGCAAAAGCUUUGGCCGUAGCGGGUGGGAAGAUCUUCCUUACCCUGGAGGAGGAAGUAGGGUCUCCGUAAUGUAUGUGUGGUACUCAGGGCUCCCGGCAGCCCGAAGCCAGAGUGUGUCCUCACCCUGCCCCGGGUCAGCCCUGUGACCUGGAGGGAGCAACUGAAAAGCUCUGGGCCUCGGAUUCCUCAUCUGUGAAAUGGGGAUGCUAACAGUGCUACCUCCUCUGGUUGGUUUGUGGCAGAGGACACAUGAGGCAACCUGUGUAAAAUGCUUGGAGGGUGGCCAGUGUGGUUACCAUGGAGAUUGACUGGUACCGUCUUCCACAUCCUGUGUUGACUAAGCGCGCACACCAGAAUACAGUUCCAAACGAUUAUCAAACAUGAAUACAAUUCAGAAAAUAAACAUGCAGCAAAACUUGCCAUAAAGAUUGCAUGAAACUAUCACUUUAAGAAAAAUACAUUAAAAAUUACCUUAAAUACCGAAAAGUACUUUUGUAAGUAAGGAUCAGUCCAAUAAAUUUAACCUGUAUUUGAAUCAGUGUAAAACAACUUGGUUUAUAAUUUUGUCUUCAUCGAGUGGGGGUGACUUUUGUAGCUUCUGUCACUGCUGCCUGGAGUAUAGAAUUAAACACCUUUUUGCAGAA
rnacentral:lncRNA from 1 species